GCCGAGGUGGUGAAACUGGUAGACACGCAGCGUUAAGGGCGCUGUGGGAGCAAUCCUGUAGGGGUUCGAGUCCCCUCCUCGGCACCA
rnacentral:tRNA from 1 species